rnacentral:rRNA from 1 species
AGAUUGAACGCUGGCGGCAGGCCUAACACAUGCAAGUCGAGCGGUAGAGAGGUGCUUGCACCUCUUGAGAGCGGCGGACGGGUGAGUAAUGCCUAGGAAUCUGCCUAGGUGGUGGGGGAUAACGUUCGGAAACGGACGCUAAUACCGCAUACGUCCUAACGGGAGAAAGCGGGGGACCUUCGGGCCUCGCGCCAUUAGAUGAGCCUAGGUCGGAUUAGCUAGUUGGUGAGGUAAUGGCUACACCAAGGCGACGAUCCGUAACUGGUCUGAGAGGAUGAUCAGUCGCACUAGGAACGUGAGACACGGUCCAGACCUCCUAGGGAGCAGCGAGUAGGGGAAUAGUUAGGACAAGUGGGGACGAAAGCCGUAGGUAACUCCGAAGCCC